rnacentral:miRNA from 1 species
UAAGUUAUCUACGAAAAUAUCCGUAGGUAACUUAUAUACGGAUUAUUCUGUAGAUAAGUUAUCUACGGCAAUUUCCUUAGAUAACUUCACCCGU